UGCUGAUAGUAACCGGGUGGAAGAUUAAUGGAUCUGUGUCUUCUCGUUUUCCAUCCUGCAGCCGCUCGAUGAGCUGAAACAUCUCUGACCUUGACCGCAGCCUCGCAGCGUGUAUGACCUCGCCAGAGGCAGGUUGGUCUGCGAGAAAACACUUCUGAAGACCAAAGGCAGAUGCCAAUAGGUCUGAAGAAACCGCAGAGCUCUGGCAGGGUUGAUCCAGUUCCUGACACAGAAGAAGGGACAUUUAGGAAAGCUGCUGGAGGAAGGAUAGAAAAGUUUUGGCUUCUGUAUGGAGACCAAAACUUGAAGGUCCAUGAAGUCCAGCAAAGUUGAAGAACUUUUCUUGGGCUCUUUACAAUCCCACGGAUGAUCUGGCAGAUUGAGAGAAGGAGGGAUCCUCUGGCAUCAGCAUCCAUGAAGUAGACUGCUACCUGAAGGACAAGCCAUAAUGAGGUCUGUUGGGCUCCUCCUUGCUGCUCCCGCCCCCUUCCCAGUGCUCCCCGCUGGAGGAGUUCACAGCUGCACUUUAUCAGUUCAAUUAGUUGUUUGCCCAUUUAAGUUCCCUUGUUUCAUCUUUCUGUUUGAGCGUUUGCAGGUUUUUUUUGUCAUGUUACUCAAUGGUUUUUCUUUUAUCAGCUUUCUCCCUUUUCCCCCAUCAAGGACGGUGAUUUUUUUUAUUAGUGCCAAUAAAUGGGUUCCGACUUGUC